rnacentral:rRNA from 1 species
UACGAGGGGGGCGAGCGUUGUUCGGAAUUAUUGGGCGUAAAGGGUGCGUAGGCGGUUUGGUAAGUCUUGUGUGAAAUCUACAGGCUCAACUUGUAGUCUGCACGAGAAACUGCCGGGCUUGAGUGUGGGAGAGGUGAGUGGAAUUCCUGGUGUAGCGGUGAAAUGCGUAGAUAUCAGGAGGAACACCGGUGGCGAAGGCGGUUCUCUGGGCCUGUACUGACGCUGAGGAGCGAAAGCGUGGGGAGCGAACAGG